CGGAGAUGAGACGAUAUGCAAAAUUAGAGUCAGGCUCAAAAGAUUAUUCUUAUGUUCUACUCACUGGGCAUUUCGUUGGGUGGAGCUGGACAAGCAAAAGUAAUUCUCUCUGUUUCUAUGCCAGUGUUGAUAUUCAACAUUUGUUGCUUGAAGACUAAAUGAGGGCCACCUCGACGGCCAAGUUAUACAUUCCCUUUUGCCUCAAUUGCGUUGAGACGAAAAUCAAGAGAAGCAGUUUGCGUGGUCCCGCCCACUCAGACGUUUUCAACCUGACACAUUUAUGUGAUGCGUGGCAAAAAAUCCACAUUCAAUCUUACAUAUAUCAUGUGCUGUCGUCUGCCGAAAAUCUUCGACUUUUCGGCCCAGAAGUGCUCGACUUCAUUUAAAACACGGCAGCAAUUAUUCGUCGAUUAGUUUUAUUAGACACGUCCCUCUUUAACAAGCACACUCGGCAGUGUUGCAAAGGAACGUCUCUUUGCUCGCGCUCAGAACAAAGGCAUUAACCUUAUUUCCAUCCUUUCUGUUACAAUUGACCGGAGAGUUGGAUGCUUCGCUUCCUUUCCAGAAUCAAACAGUCCUGAGGCAUUGUGUGUGCGCGCGCGCAUGUGUGUGUGUGUGUGUGUGUGUGUGUGUGUCAGUGUCAUCAAUUCUCCUUUAUAAGUCCGUCUUUAUUCCUCUCGUGCAUGCACAUACUAGUCAAUUGGGUAACAGCGGAUGGCAGAACAGGGCCAUGUGAUACGCACGCACCCUCCCACCCCCACCCGCAUGGGGGGUGUGGGUCAUAUGAUGGUGGAAGGACACACAAAGGGAGAAUGUCAGAGCCACAAUCACGUGAGAGCUUCUAAUCUGCUUAGAUACACAGGUGGUUCGAGUGACUUGGUGCUUUUGCAGCAAAGCAAUGCACCUGAAAAAAAAUUACCUGACUAUCAUUGUUGAAAUUAUUUCAAUAUUCCCGAUUGCAUUAAAAAAAAAAAGGAUAUACGCACGUGUGAUGUUUUUGUGAAACGUUUUGUGACGACACGGAGAAGCAAGACUAUGGACAGUAUGGCUACUGUAUUUGGAUUCAUAUGGAUACUCCCAACUAAAGGCCUUAUCCACUUUAUGAUCUUACACGUUGAAUUAUGUUUGGAAGAAGAACCUGCAAAGUGUCAGGAAAAAAGAUGCUCUUCAUCAUGUUUGAUGAUUUAAAUAAUAAGAUAAUGAUGGAUGAUGGAUGGAUGGAUAAUAUGGGCAAAUAGCUACGGAUGGAUGGAUGGAUUACUGUAAUAGACAAAGUAGCAGACUGAUGGACAGCAAUGGGGAGUUGUUUGUAUUGAGCGCAUGUUGGCCAUAAAGCCAUUUCUGAUCAGAUGUGGAACACAUCAUCAGUGCCAGCAUCAACGCGAUCAUCUGAACCAAACAGCCCAUUUUGUGUCUAACAUUGACACCCAUUUCUCGCCCUUAGAUCACAGACAUUCCCACAUUGGUCGUGCCAGUGGGGGGGGAAGGGGGGGGAGAAGACCUUCCGCAUGCCACCCUGAAGUGACGCUUGCUUUCACACGUCAGGCCGCGACGCGAGUUCGUGGGACUGGGUGAGUGCGCAGGGACGUUCACGGACCAAUCACAGAAACCAACCUCCCCCCACCUCUUAAAAAAGGUCGACGACCGCUCUUCUAAAACACCUGCCAACAACCUGCGUUGACUUCUUGUCACCUGCACAGCAGCUGUCGUCUGCUGCUUCUGUGACUUCAUCCAUGAUUUAAAAUCCGUACAAGCGCGGCAAGGCUUCUUUUUCACUCCAGUUGGCUGCUGCUCCCCGCUGGAGUUUUCCUCAGAAGUUCUG